rnacentral:rRNA from 1 species
AUUGAACGCUGGCGGCAGGCCUAACACAUGCAAGUCGAGCGAGCGGCGGACGGGUGAGUAAUGUCUGGGAAACUGCCUGAUGGAGGGGGAUAACUACUGGAAACGGUAGCGAAUACCGCAUACCAUCAGAUGUGCCCAGAUGGGAUUAGCUAGUAGGUGGGGUAACGGCUCACCUAGGCGACGAUCCCUAGCUGGUCUGAGAGGAUGACCAGCCACACUGGCACUGAGACACGGUCCAGACUCCUACGGUAGGCAGCAGAGGGGAAUUUUGAGCCAUGGGCGCCAGCCUGAUGCAGCCAUGCCGCGUGUGUGAAGAAGGCCUUCGGGUUGUAAAGCACUUUCAGCGGGGAGGCGUUACCCGCAGAAGAAGCACCGGCUAACUCCGUGCCAGCAGCCGCGGUAAUAC